rnacentral:ncRNA from 1 species
CGGUUGGCGGGAGGCUCUGACACGCGGCCCAAGCCCUGGCCGCCGGGACCGCGCCGAGCCACUGGCGAGACCGACCCGCUUGCCG